GAUGAACGCUGGCGGCGUGCCUAAUACAUGCAAGUCGAGCGAACAGACGAGGAGCUUGCUCCUCUGACGUUAGCGGCGGACGGGUGAGUAACAAGUGGAUAACCUAACUAUAAGACUGGGAUAAAUUCGGGAAACAGGAGCUAAUACCGGAUAAUAUAUUGAACCGCAUGGUUAAAUAGAGCAAGACGGUCUUGCUGCGGCUUAGAGAAGGGUCCGCGGCUUAUUAGCUAGUUGGUGAGGUAAGGGCUUACCAAGGCUACGCUGGGUAGCCGACCUGCGAGCGCGACCCACACCAAUGGAAAUGCGACACGGACCAUACACCUCAGGGGGGAUGCAGUCAAGAGCAUUCGACAAUGGGAGAAAGCCUGAUCGAGCGACGCCGCGUGCGGGAAGAAGCUCUUCGGAGAGUAAACCGCUUUUAUAGGGGAAAAACGAAAGUGAUAGUACCAUAUGAAUAAGGCCUUGCUAACCUCGUG
rnacentral:rRNA from 1 species